GAUGAUGGAUGUUCACUAACUUACUGGUGUUCAUCAUUUCAUGAUGUAUAUAGGUCAAGUCAUUAUGCUGUACACCUUAAACUUACACAGUGCUGUAUUUCAGUUAUAUCUCAGUAAAAGCAGAAGGAAGAAAACAGAAAAGCUGUGGGAUUUGCUCAAGCCUCAAGUUCCAACCCUAGAGCAGCCAAGGGGCAGUAGAGAGCAGACAGAAGUUUCAAGGCAAUGCAUCCAAUGCAGAGCAAAGCCCUGCUUCCUUAAAUCUUCCUAUAUAGUAGGGGAUCAGCAAAGAAGACUGCUACCUUCUCUCGUUCUACCAUCACUUUGGAUUUAUUGGACCCUUGCAGGGAAAGAAUAUGUGCAGGUAAGAAGUGCAGGGUGUUCAAGGCUACUUAAUGUAUGUCUUCUACUUUCCUAUCAACUGAUGCAUGUGAAGGGUGCAAUAAAUACUUGUUGAAUUAA